UCAUGUUCCACAUUUGGAGCGGUCACAUGUCUGCAUUCUCCUGGCAGCAGCGAGCACACAACACCUGGAACAGUGCCUGACAUGUAACAAAUACUGGCUGAAUAAAAAGUGACAAGUUAAUGAACGUCCAAAGAAGGGCAAUGAGGAUGGUGAUGAGUGAGAAAUUCAUGUCAUACAAAGGUAAGUGAAGGAUGUCUGGCUAUAGAUGAGAUGACUUAGAGAACAUAAUUCCUUUUAAAUAUCAAAAAUAUCCUCGGUACUGUCAGGUUGAAGAGCAAUGAGAUUAUGCUGUCAUCCCAGAGGGCUGCAUUAGGAGCAGGGGGUGGAGUUACAAGGAAGUAGAUCUCAUUUCUACAUAAGAACUUCCUAGUAAACAGCUGCCUAGCUUCGCAAAGCAGUCAGGUUCCAGCUGGAUGACCACCUGUCAGGAAUGCUCCCAGGGAGACUGCUGUGUGGGGCAGGGGAAUGGAAGAUACGAUUUCCAGGGUUUUUUUCUUACCCCAGAACCUGUACGUCUAAGUAAUGGCUUGUUUGCUGACAGAGUUCCCAGACACUCUAGUCUCUUACAGUCACGUGCCACGAUGCCGAGAGGACACGCCACAGAUGAGAAAGAGAUUUCAAUUCGUAUGCCAUCCCCACUGACUGGCAGCGACGUCUGGAAGGCUGUGUUAGGCAGGACCGUCAGGCCACACUGGGGCUGGGACUGAGUGCAGUGACUAAUGAGCAGUGGCCACCACGAGGCCAGGGUGAUGGUGGCCAAAGGGCAAUUUGUUUGCCAUUCCCAAUUUAGAAGUCCCUGGCUUGGCGUUCAGUUUCCAGGCUCAUCACUGAAGCUGGUAACACGUUUGCCAGAUACCAGCAGAGGAAGGGCUGCCUCCGACAGCAUUAGGGAAGAACUGUCACUCAGUUGGCUCAGAGCCUGGGACAGAGAUGAAUCCUAUAACAUGCUGGCUCUCAAGGAUAGUCCAGUUUACUGGGGAGUCCCUUCUGUCAUCAUGUCCUGGCAUCGUUCCCGUGGAAAUGCCUCUUACCCAGCCCUCCUUGCCUGCAACGCCCCACUGCAGCCUCAUCCCUUCCAUGGCCUGACCACAGUAAUGCUUCCAGGGCGUCCCCGGAAUCCACUCUUUCCCCUUCUUGUCCACUCUAUGAUGGUUGCCUGAAGAACCUUCCCCAAACCCUUCUGUUCCAUCACCUCCCUACUCAAGAACCUGUCCAGGCUCUCUCAACUCCUGGAUCAAGCUCACAGUCCAUCCCUGUUUGGAGAAGCCCUCCUGGGCCCUAACUUACUUAUCCCAACUCCUCACCCACUCCUCUCCUCCCUCCCACAUCUCUACCAUGGAGCACUCCCACAGCACGGCAGAGAAAGAAAGGAGCAAUAAGCAAGCUCCCGAGGGCCCACAAUCACAGCGGUAAGUGAGGCCCGCAGAUGCACGGCAAGUUGACUUCUCACACCCUCUUCUGUUCUGCAAUGGAGGAGCUGAAAGCAUGGGACAGGCAGCAAUGUCUGCGCUCUGGGGGCCAGGGUACACCAUGCUCUGAUAGCUGGGAUACGCCAUGCUCCGGGAUACACUGUGUUCGGGCACACACUGUGCUCCCGAAUACACUGUGCCCUGGGAACAGGGAUACAAUGCUCUGGGAUACACCAUGCUCCAGCAUACACCGUGCUCCAGGAGCUAGGAUACACUGUGCUCCAGGAUCUAAGAUACGCCAUGCA